GACGAACGCUGGCGGCGUGCUUAACACAUGCAAGUCGAACGGAAAGGCCCUGCUUUUGUGGGGUGCUCGAGUGGCGAACGGGUGAGUAACACGUGAGUAACCUGCCCUUGACUUUGGGAUAACUUCAGGAAACUGGGGCUAAUACCGGAUAGGAGCUCCUGCUGCAUGGUGGGGGUUGGAAAGUUUCGGCGGUUGGGGAUGGACUCGCGGCUUAUCAGCUUGUUGGCGGGGUAGUGGCUUACCAAGGCUUUGACGGGUAGCCGGCCUGAGAGGGUGACCGGCCACAUUGGGACUGAGAUACGGCCCAGACUCCUACGGGAGGCAGCAGUGGGGAAUAUUGCACAAUGGGCGGAAGCCUGAUGCAGCAACGCCGCGUGCGGGAUGACGGCCUUCGGGUUGUAAACCGCUUUCGCCUGUGACGAAGCGUGAGUGACGGUAAUGGGUAAAGAAGCACCGGCUAACUACGUGCCAGCAGCCGCGGUGAUACGUAGGGUGCGAGCGUUGUCCGGAUUUAUUGGGCGUAAAGGGCUCGUAGGUGGUUGAUCGCGUCGGAAGUGUAAUCUUGGGGCUUAACCCUGAGCGUGCUUUCGAUACGGGUUGACUUGAGGAAGGUAGGGGAGAAUGGAAUUCCUGGUGGAGCGGUGGAAUGCGCAGAUAUCAGGAGGAACACCAGUGGCGAAGGCGGUUCUCUGGGCCUUUCUUGACGCUGAGGAGCGAAAGCGUGGGGAGCGAACAGGCUUAGAUACCCUGGUAGUCCACGCUGUAAACGGUGGGUACUAGGUGUGGGGUCCAUUCCACGGGUUCCGUGCCGUAGCUAACGCUUUAAGUACCCCGCCUGGGGAGUACGGCCGCAAGGCUAAAACUCAAAGGAAUUGACGGGGCCCCGCACAAGCGGCGGAGCAUGCGGAUUAAUUCGAUGCAACGCGUAGAACCUUACCUGGGUUUGACAUGGAUCGGGAGUGCUCAGAGAUGGGUGUGCCUCUUUUGGGGUCGGUUCACAGGUGGUGCAUGGCUGUCGUCAGCUCGUGUCGUGAGAUGUUGGGUUAAGUCCCGCAACGAGCGCAACCCUUGUUCACUGUUGCCAGCACGUUAUGGUGGGGACUCAGUGGAGACCGCCGGGGUCAACUCGGAGGAAGGUGGGGAUGACGUCAAAUCAUCAUGCCCCUUAUGUCCAGGGCUUCACACAUGCUACAAUGGUCGGUACAACGCGCAGCGACACUGUGAGGUGGAGCGAAUCGCUGAAAGCCGGCCUUAGUUCGGAUUGGGGUCUGCAACUCGACCCCAUGAAGUCGGAGUCGCUAGUAAUCGCAGAUCAGCAAUGCUGCGGUGAAUACGUUCCCGGGCCU
rnacentral:rRNA from 1 species